AAAUUCUCGGAUUUCCGGUGCAAACUUCUUGGGAACGAAGAAAAAGGAGGGAGGAAAAUAGAAAGGCGGUGGGGCAAAAAAGUCGAGAGCAUCGGUCCCAUUGAAUUUAGUGAAACUUUAUACCGGAUGACGAGAAGGAUUAAAGUUUCCCUCUCACAUUGGAUAAAGAUGCCCAUCCUCGGUAGUUUUCUUCAGUUUUUCGUUAGCGUCGGCUUCCUUUAAAAGGCCUAAGAACUCAAAGCUCACAAGCGAUCGAUAGGGAUGGUGGCCGGUCGAUUGGCCAUCCAAAUCACGUCCACUUUCUUUGCGCUCUGCUGGGUAGAACUCGAUUAGAGCACACCGACGACA
ensembl:ncRNA C54D2.16 ncRNA